rnacentral:tRNA from 1 species
GAAGGUAUAGCUUAAUGGUAGAGUGCUUGCCUAGCAAGUACAGGUCCUGUGUUCAAUCCCCAGCACCCA